rnacentral:rRNA from 1 species
AUUGAACGCUGGCGGAAUGCUUUACACAUGCAAGUCGAACGGCAGCACGGGGGCAACCCUGGUGGCGAGUGGCGAACGGGUGAGUAAUACAUCGGAACGUGCCCGGUCGUGGGGGAUAACGUAGCGAAAGUUACGCUAAUACCGCAUACGAUCUGAGGAUGAAAGCGGGGGACCUUCGGGCCUCGCGCGAUCGGAGCGGCCGAUGUCAGAUUAGGUAGUUGGUGGGGUAAAGGCCUACCAAGCCGACGAUCUGUAGCUGGUCUGAGAGGACGACCAGCCACACUGGGACUGAGACACGGCCCAGACUCCUACGGGAGGCGGCAGUGGGGAAUUUUGGACAAUGGGCGCAAGCCUGAUCCAGCCAUUCCGCGUGCAGGACGAAGGCCUUCGGGUUGUAAACUGCUUUUGUAUGGAACGAAAAGGCUCUGGCUAAUACCUGGGGCUCAUGACGGUACCGUAAGAAUAAGCACCGGCUAACUACGUG